UACAGAGGGUGCGAGCGUUGUCCGGAAUUACUGGGCGUAAAGGGCGCGUAGGCGGCACUGUUAGUCAGGCGUGAAAGUCCUGGGCUCAACCUGGGAACUGCGCUUGAUACGGCAGAGCUAGAGGAUGGAAGAGGCUCGCGGAAUUCCCAGUGUAGAGGUGAAAUUCGUAGAUAUUGGGAAGAACACCGGUGGCGAAGGCGGCGAGCUAGUCCAUUACUGACGCUGAGGCGCGACAGCGUGGGGAGCAAACAGG
rnacentral:rRNA from 1 species